AAUUGCUAGUAAUCGCAGAUCAGAAUGCUGCGGUGAAUACGUUCCCGGGCCUUGUACACACCGCCCGUCACACCAUGGGAGCCGGUAAUACCCGAAGUCAGUAGUCUAACCGCAAGGGGGACGCUGCCGAAGGUAGGAUUGGCGACUGGGGUGAAGUCGUAACAAGGUAGC
rnacentral:rRNA from 1 species